rnacentral:antisense_RNA from 1 species
AUAAUAACUGUACCAUACGAAUAGCCAGAACAUCACCAACAACAACCAAGGCAGUUGCUUUAAAGGAAGAUAUAGUUUCCAUCAAUAUUUCUACGCUAACAGGAUCCUUACGAUCAAAUAACAGCAUUGGCUUUGUUUUUAAAGAUCGCUUAAAACAACCCUUCAAAUAGCCAAGAUAACGCUCAGAAGUUACUUCUGAUAGUAAAUCAUCUGUUAUAAAUAAUAUGUUGUGAUGGCCUUUUUGAUAAAGGUGUUCUACUGCUGUUUUAGCCAUUAGCUGAUUAUCAUUAUCAAUAUAAGUGGUUUUAUUAGUGUCACCUUGUGGAGCACCUACAAUGACAAAUGGUAAGUUAUUUGUCAUCAAAUAUUUUUUGACAGGAUCAUCUUGAUCAGAAUAAAGAAUAAUAAAACCAUCAACUCGUUUUUGAAGAUGCAUCAGUUUCACUUGCUCUAUCAGGUCAUCAAGAGAUAUACCUGUAGCAAUCGACACAGUAAAAUGAGAUUCUUUAGCUUCGUUAGUAAUAGUCGACAAAAUUUCCAUAAAGAAAGGUUCACUUAAUCUAUCGCUAGUUGUAAUAGGAGGAAAAACAAGUCCUAUAUUGUGUGUCAAACCACUCGCUAGAAUCUGUGCUGCGACAUUUGGAACAUAUCCCAAAUCUGCCAUCGCUUUUCUAACCUUCUCUUUUGUCUUCAUAGAAAUAGAUCGAUUAUCUUUUAAUACCCUACUCACCGUCGAAGGGUUAACACCUGCCUUUUGAGCGACAUCUUUUAUUGUUACCAUAUUAACCUCGUUACU